AUGGAGUCUGUACGACACACCUGACUCCCUCCAGCUGUUACUCAAGCCCAUGGCCACCACCCCAGUGUCCUUAACCUUGGGUGCACAUUGGAAUCACCUGGGGAGUUUUGAAAAAUCUUGAUGCCAGGCUGCACCACACAUCAAUUAAAUCAGAAGCUCUGGUGGAUGAGACCAAGGCAUCAAUAGUUUUGAAAAUGCUCCAGGUAAUUUAGUGUACAGCUGUGUUUGACAGCCAUGCAUUGCUCCAUCCUUUCUGGAACACCAUCGUCUCCCAAAUUCAACGCCCUCCUUUCUCAUCUUUAAAAAGGGUGUUUGCCGCAUUUUACAGGGAAGAUGACCUCUUGGGAUGAAGUUUCUUGCAAAACUUCCUUAUAAGGAAGAAAAAGCAUGAAGGAACAAUAGCAAUAAGUUUAGAUAUAUAAUUUUCC
rnacentral:lncRNA from 1 species